UAAAAGUUUUUUAGCUUUAAAUUUUUAUAUAGCUUUAUUUUAAAUGUAAAUUUUAGUAUUAAUAAUUUAAAAUUUAAAUAAUUAUAGAUUAAAUUAUAAUUUACAGUAAUUAAUUUUAUUUAAUUUAGGAGAUUAAGAUUUAGUAAUUGUUUUUAGUAUAGACUAAAUUUGUGCCAGCAGUUGCGGUUAUACAAAUUAUGUAAUAAAAAUUUAUUUGGUGGUAGUUAGUUAGAUGUUAGAAUUUAUAAUUUUAUUUAUUAAGUGAAAUUUUAAGUUUUUAUUAAUUUUUAUUAUUUAAUUAGCCUAGAAAGUUUUAUUUAAAACUAGGAUUAGAUACCCUAUUAUAAAAAAGUAAUUGUUUAUACCUAAUUAGUAUUUGGUAUUCUUGAAAAUUAAAAAUUUUGGCGGUAUUUUAGUCUAUUUAGAGGAACCUGUCCUAUAAUUGAUAUUCCACGAUUUAAUUUACUUAUUUUUUUAAUUUGUAUAUCGCCGUAGUUGGAAUAUUUUAAAUGGAUUUUAAUAUUCAAAAUUUUUAUUGAAAGUAAAUCAGGUCAAGAUAUAGUUUAUAAAUAAGAAGAGAUGGGUUACAUUAUUUAUAUAAUGGAGAUUUUAUUGUAAAUAGAAUUGAAAAUGGAUUUAAAAGUAAUUUUUUAAUUAUUUAAAAAAUGAUUUAAGCUCUAAAAUAUGUACAUAUUGCCCGUCGCUUUCUCUUUAAGGAGAAAUAAGUCGUAACAUAGUAGAAGUACUGGAAAGUGUUUCUAGAAAAUA
rnacentral:ncRNA from 1 species